UACUCCGACGCAGGCGCAGUGAGCUGUCUCCUGGUGCGUUGGACAGCAGCCGCCAAGCUGACCGGCAAGGUCCGUGAACAGACUGGGGUCGUGGAGCUCCAGGAACCUAUGAUAUGUUACCUCCAACUAGCAGUGAUGUGGUGGCACCUCUCCCCCUCUCCAAGUAACGAUGGUGUGGGGACACCGGACAGCUGGAAACAACUGGAUCCAAACUCUCCCAUUUCACAAACAUGGGGCCAGCACCCUCUCCCAAGAACAGUCAAAAGAACCAGGAAUACAGCAUUUCAUCCUCCUCUUUGCCAACAAUUUGGCUUUGCCAUGGCGUUAAAAAAAAGGUCCAGAAAUCCCAGCCUGACCUGCAUAUUCUCUCCAGUGGUGGAAGCUGAUCCAGGGAAGCAAGAGGGGUUCGGACAACUAGCUGUCCUUCCACAAGCAGAAGGACUCCCAACAUCAAUAUAAAGAGAAUGCUGCUGAUCUGAGGGGUGCUGUAGAUGGUUGAAGCAGAGAUGCUGGGCCACUCCACAGCCUGGCACCCAGGAGCAGAGCUGACCAGCUGAGGGCACUUCCCAGCUGAGUCACAGACAUGGGAAAAAUAAACAUUUGUUGAGUGCCAUAGAGGCUAUAGGGUUGUCUGUGAC